AUUGAACGCUGGCGGAAUGCUUUACACAUGCAAGUCGAACGGCAGCACGGACUUCGGUCUGGUGGCGAGUGGCGAACGGGUGAGUAAUGUAUCGGAACGUGCCCAGUCGUGGGGGAUAACGUAGCGAAAAUUACGCUAAUACCGCAUACGAUCUAUGGAUGAAAGCGGGGGAUCGCAGGACCUCGCGCGAUUGGAGCGGUCGAUAUCAGAUUAGGGAGUUGGUGGGGUAAAGGCCCACCAAGCCAACGAUCUGUAGCUGGUCUGAGAGGACGACCAGCCACACUGGAACUGAGACACGGUCCAGACUCCUACGGGAGGCAGCAGUGGGGAAUUUUGGACAAUGGGCGAAAGCCUGAUCCAGCCAUUCCGCGUGCAGGAUGAAGGCCCUCGGGUUGUAAACUGCUUUUGUACAGAACGAAAAGGUUUCUACUAAUACUAGGAGCUCAUGACGGUACUGUAAGAAUAAGCACCGGCUAACUACGUGCCAGCAGCCGCAGUAA
rnacentral:rRNA from 1 species